GCAGGUACGUGCACAUGUGCUUAUGUGCUCUGUCUGGUGUGUUGUGUAACAUUUCCUUCAAGAUUGAAACAUUCUACCCUGCAAGGCUGCUCCUCAAGUAGGAAGGUCAAGAUGUAGGACUCUCAACUCCUUCUCCAGCACCAUGUCUGCCUGCAGGCCACCAUGUCCCACCAUGAUGACAAUGGACUAAACCUCUGAAAAGCUACAGAAACCCUAAGGCCUCUCUGCCAUAAUAUGCGAUUAAAGCUGAGAAUCUGUCUCAGAGGAAUAGGGCCAAGCUGCAAAGAAGACCCUGAGACCAGACCAGCUGCCUGGAAGCAGAGGCCAGCCGAACUGCCCGGAAGAAGUUUAGGACAACUGAGGCACCUGGAAAAGGACUCUCCAACCUGGUGAGCCGCCUGCAGGCUGCGCAGUGAGCUCCAGGUUCCCAGCUUUGUGAGCUGCCACCGUGCUGGGGUGGGCCUUGGUGAUGCAGCUGCCACUGAGUCAUUUCUGCUCCUAUAGAUAACCCCUCACCCCUAUCCCUGUAAGUGACCCCAAUAAAACUCAGGGUUUGCCAGGUUGGACUCUG